rnacentral:rRNA from 1 species
UUAUACUCAGUACAGCAUAAUAGUAUAUAGAAUUUAAUAAAAAUUCGCUUAAUAUCAGAAAUUUACAAUAUACAACCACAUCUAACAUGAUAAAAGUUAUAAUUCAAUUUCGUUAACUAACUAAUAGUGCCAGCAGUUGCGGUUAAACUAUAAAUGAAUUUAUACAAAACUUUUCUAUUCUUAAAUUAUUUAUAACAGAUAAAAUUUUAAGUAAAAUUUUAUUUUUUAUUAUAAGUAUUUAAUUAUUAGAAAAAAUUAAAAAUUUAAAACAGGAUUAGAUACCCUAUUAUAUUUUAAAAAUUUUUUAGGUAGUAAUUUUAUUUUAUGAAACCUAUGUAGUUUGGCGGCAUUUAAUCAUUUUAGAGGAACCUGUCUUUUAACCGAUUAUCCACGAUAAUUUUCACUUUUAUUUAAAUCUUAUAUACCUCCAUCUAAAGGAUUAACAAUUAUAUUCUCCCCCUGACAGAUUUCUAAUAAGUUAGGUAAAGGUGUAGACAAUAUAAAAGAUAAGAUGGGUUACAAUAAAUUUUAUUUAAGGAUUAUAAGCUAAAGCUUAUUAUAAAAAAGGAUUUAUUAGUAAUUUUAAAAUAAUAUUCUAAAAUGAACCAGAUAAACAAUGUGCACAUAUCGCCCGUCACCCUUAUCUAAAGGUAAGGUAAGUCGUAACAUAGUUGAUGUUUUGGAAAAAGCAUCAGG